rnacentral:rRNA from 1 species
AUUGAACGCUGGCGGCAGGCCUAACACAUGCAAGUCGAGCGAGCGGCGGACGGGCGAGUAAUGUAUGGGCAACUGCCCGAUGGAGGGGGAUAACUACUGGAAACGGUGGCUAAUACCGCAUACGAUCGGAUGAAGCCAGAUGGGAUUAGCUAGUAGGUGGGGUAACGGCUGACCUAGGCGACGAUCCCUAGCUGGGCUGCGAGGAUGAUCGGCCACACUGGGACUGAGAAACGGCCCAGACUCCUACGGGAGGCAGCAGGGGGGAAUAUUGGGCAAGUGGCGCAAGCCUGAUGCAGCCACGCCGCGGGAGUGAAGAAGGCCUUCGGGUGGUAAAGUACUGUCAGCGGGGAAGCGUUACCCACCGAGGAAGCACCGGCUAACUCCGUGCCAGCAGCCGCGGUAAUUC